GUCGACUGUCUAUGGUUUAAGAAGUUCAACCUCAUUCUCCAUAUUAAUAGAACGCAGAGGAAAACUGAAAUGGUAAUCAAAAUAAUAUAAUAAAAUUCCAAGUGAAACCCCCACAAAUUUUCAAGCUUGGACUUGCCACAAUAGCUGCAAUCACAGAUAAUUCUUAGAUUCUCCAUAGCUGUGACUUCGGGAUCAAGAAUAAAGUCUACACUCAUGGCUGAUUCUCCUAACACGAUCCAUGUGGUCUUUGAUUUGUACCCCGGCAUGGAGGCCAUAACUUCAUAUCUCUCUGCUGGGUUAAGCAAGCGAUGGUAAUCAGCAAAUAAGCUACCAGCUUUAAUCGUAUAAUUUAUUCCUUUGAUCAUGAUAGAACCUGGUAGUGGCCUCCCUCCAUCAGAUGAAAAUAUCCUUCCAUGUACUCCUGUCUUCACAAGGCUGGCUACAAGGUUUAAUAAACUCAUUUUGUUGUAUUCCCAAAGUACAGGAAGCUCAUCAGCAUUAGGCCACUUGUUGUCACUAAUCUCCAAGGUCAAUUCAAAACAGCCAGCAUGUAUAUAGUUCCAAUCUUGCAUUCCACCAUAUAUUGGGUACCAAGAUGCUCCAUUUGUUAUUCCUCCAGGAAAUUCUUUGCUCAAAGACAUGUUAUGAUGAGAACGGCUAUAUAUACUUGCCAUGAACCGGAAUGUAUCAUCAUCAGGACAUGCAUAGUAAUUUCUCCUUUUAUCCCCUGUACCAUCCCAUGGAUAGUUUGCAACAAGUGCACCCCCAUGCAAACUGGCAGAUGCUGUGAAAUGUAUCUCUCCCAACCAAUUCAUAAUUGCUCUUGUUUCAGGUUGUCGUGAGUUUAUGUCACCAUUCAAAGGAAAGAACUGGUCUGGGAAAUCUCGAUUUAGAUCAACAUUGUUUGCAUUACCACGCCUCCUCAAUGAAAACCCAUCAGGAUUCAUUGAUGGAAGAAUAUGAAGGUGAACAUUUUCUACUAUCAACCUGGCCAAGGGAUCCUUCAGAUAGUUAUCACAUAUCCAGUUAGCAAGAUGUAUCAGAAGUUCACGACCUACGGGUUCAUCUCCAUGCACAUUUCCAAUAUACUUGAAUGCAGGUUCAGGCUCUUCCGCCCCAGGCUUGUCAGAGAUCUCUAUAACCCACAGUGGAAAUCCAUUCA
rnacentral:misc_RNA from 1 species